rnacentral:rRNA from 1 species
UACGUAGGGGCUAGCGUUAUCCGGAAUUACUGGGCGUAAAGGGUGCGUAGGUGGUUUCUUAAGCCAGAAGUGAAAGGCUACGGCUCAACCGUAGUAAGCUUUUGGAACUGUAAGACUUGAGUGCAGAAGAGGGAAGUGGAAUUCCAUGUGUAGCGGUGAAAUGCGUAGAGAUAUGGAGGAACACCAGUGGCGAAGGCGGCUUCCUGGUCUGUAACUGACACUGAGGCGCGAAAGCGUGGGGAGCAAACAGGAUUAGAUACCCGGGUAGUCCCUGAGCGGG